AGGAAGCGUGCCCGAACACAAGGACUACUUUGAUAGAGUAGCACAUAGGGGUUUAAACCCCCUCACUUCCUU
rnacentral:tRNA from 1 species